CCAUCACCUGAUGGGGGACAUGUAACAGGCCGCAGCACCGCUGGCCCACCAUCCUAUAGCUCUAACAAAGGGGACACCAUUGGUCCAUCACCCUAUGGAGGCAAUACAGCCAGACCAUCACCAUAUGGCCUCAACACUUCUCAUCCAUCUCCUUACGGAGGUCAUAGACCCAGCCCAUCACCGUAUGGCCUCAACAGCUCUGGUCUAUCUCUCUACGGUGGCCAUACAACCAGCCCAUCAACAUAUAGCCUCAACACCUCUGGUCCAUCUCCCUACGGAGAGCAUACACCCAGCCCACCACUGUAUGGUCAUGACACCCCGGGUCCGUCAUUCUAUGGAGGCCAUAAACCCAGCCCAUCACUGUAUGACCUCAACACC